rnacentral:lncRNA from 1 species
CCUUUUCCCUUUUUGCAGAGGAGAAAUCUCUUGUCUACACACUUGUGUCAGCCUAGGAGUCCGGGACAGAAGGCAUGUAGGACUGGCCAGACUUGAAAGUGACAUGCUGAAUGCAAGGCAAGGACAGAAGGAGCUGAUUCCUUCACAGUCCCCCGGAACCACGUGGUGGCCAGGUUGACAGUACCAGAGAAGAGCACCUUCCCACUUGGGUAAACUGACUUUUUGAGUCUUAAAUCUCUGCAGGCAAGAACUUCUUGCCACUAACCAUCUCUAAUGAAAGCAUUCUUACAGCAGAUACAGCAAAGUAACA